GGGCGCGUAGCUCAGGUGGUUAGAGCGCACGCCUGAUAAGCGUGAGGUCGGUGGUUCGAGUCCUCUCGUGCCCA
rnacentral:tRNA from 1 species